GGGAGGGGGGAGAAAGAGAGAGGGAAUUCCCCUUCAGUGGUGUGAUGAGACUGGCAGCCUUUUGAAACAAAGUCCUGCUCACUCUUUUGUAUGCUAAGUCCAGCUGUUGGGCAGUUUGGUUUGGUUUGCAUGUUCAUUUGGAGGCGAUCACUCGGUCUCGCGUGUGCACUGUCCGUAUGUGGGUCUGUUUCUGGAGCUUGUUAUGUAUCUGCGUUGUGUUUGUGGGGUGUGUGCUCAAGUAUUAACUCGGUAAUGCCUUCUAAUGGUAGUGCUAAUUACAGUAGGGUUAUUUAGCAAAUUAAGUGAGACUGUGCACCCCCCCUUGAGCACCAAAUGAACUUUUCCAAACACACACGCGCGCACGCACACACACACACACACACGUUAAUUUUGGUAUGUUUCUCUUGCCCAAUCACUUUGCUGGAACUAAAACAUGCCUUACCUCAGAGCAGUCAAUUACCAAAGCUACCCGUGAUCAUCAAUCAUGGGGGAUGCUUGAAGUUCGGGGGAGGAGCGAUGGUCAAACUAUCGAUUGCUGCAGUUUUGUCCUACCCCCCCCCCUUCUCGUUCACGGUCCCCUGCACAUAAAAUCUAAAACAGACUAUCCCGUUAAUAGUGGGAUUUAUCAAUGAUUAUGUACCCAGUUGUGAAUGUGGCCUCAUGCAUAGAUGCCUUUUAAACAUACACCGCAAAAAAAAAAAAAAAAAAAAAGUAUUUGAUCCAGCUAGGGCUUUUUAUUAUUAUUUUAAGAUUUUUGGAAAUUGGAAAAAAAAAUGAAUCAAAGGGUAGUUAUAGAAAUUUGGCCAGAUUUUAAUGGGCAUACGGAAUGAGCUCCAGAGGUCAAUAAACCCCUCCAAAAUGAUGAAUGAUUGAGUACCUGUGAUGAUGAUAGUGAUUACCGGAGCAAUUAAACAGUUUGAUUAAAUGAGCCAUCAUAACAAUGAUGUCUGCGGGAAAUCAGCCCUCACAUAUAAAGAAAGAUAGUGUGGAGGGCUGACAACGCCAGUGGGCAUUCAUACGUGUUCUGAUAGUGUUGAGCCCUGCAGAGCAGACUGUAUUUACAAAUAUGAGGGCAAUAUGGAGAAAAGUCACUCAGAUACUUUUAGCCAGAGUUGCACCCUGCUUAAAAAUCGUCAGAAGCCGAAGAGCAGACCCGUUUUUUUCCUAGAGGAUCUCCUCCAAGAUUAAAGCUAGCCCUAAGAGCAACCGAUGUUCUGUGGCUGACUUUCACGGGACUGUAAAGAAAAGGGUCCAUGGUUCACUGGUGUAUUGUUAUUCCCUGAAAGGUUUCAGCAAGAUGGUCCAAAAUAACAUCACAGUGUAAAGGACAGCCUUGCUACAAAAUGACCACCAUAAGAUGGAUGAAGAGGAAUGGCAAGAGACAAGAAAUCUCAAGACAUCACCACAUUCACCAGCAAUUUCAGACUAAGGAAGUCUAGGUAGCUGUAGUCACUAUGUAUUACACCAAAACUGUACAUUUUAAAUAGUAAAUAAAUAAAUAAAUACAUAGAACCCCCCCCCCCCCCAAAAAAAAAAAAAAAAGCUGUGAUGAUAUCAAAGACCAGGGACAGAGAAUGAAGCCACUUUGCACUUAAGAGCAAACAAUCGUAUUUGCAGUGCCUGGACAUUACACUGAACUUCCACUUACCAGCUUCCUCUACUUACAGUCACCAGAUGAAACUCAAAGGGUAAAACACAUCCGUGGUGUGAGAGGCAGAGAGAGAUAGUUAGCCCUGUGAGUCUGAAAUCAGGCAGAAGGCAGGGUAGCGUGGCACCCUUGCGACUAACUUGUUCAGAGAGGCAUGAGCUUUUGCAGACUACAGCCUACUUCAUCAAAUGCUAUGAAUGGAUUCUGGAAAAGUAGGCUGUAGCCUAUGCUUCUCUGAAUGAGUUAGUGUACAGUCCUGCCCAGCCUUCUGCUUGACUUCAACCAAGUUACACCAGGGAUAGGUCUGUGUGCUUCAAACAGAUUAUGCUAUUAUAAUGAUGUUUAUAAACAUUUUCAUGCAGAAGGUAAAGGAACAAGGGGCUGACUUCUACUUAUCCUGUACAUCCUCUGUAGAUCUGUCUGAAAACUCACCUACUAAACAGCAGGAUACUCGUAAUGAUAAUCUGUCUCCAAGUUUUGCAUCUCUUCAGAAAAUCUGAGAUACAUAUUGAAAAUCUUCAGUAUUCUGGGGUUCAAACCUAGGGCAAAAGUCACUUUGGUUUAAAUACUCCUUUUGCCUCAAUGAGGAAUCCAGGAUAGGUUUCCUUUUACCUGAUCCUUCACUAGUGUGAGCACAUUCUCCAAAGUGCUGAGCCCUCCCAGUUUUCACUGAUUAAAUUGACCAUGCAGCAUCUUGAGGAAUUCCCCAGCAUCUCAAAAGAUAAGGCCCUUAAUAAUGCUUUCAAUAUUUCUCAUCUUUUUAUGACACUUUUGCAACAGGAUCUCUCAGGUUCUGCAGUACGUGGUACAGACUACUGUUUAAAACUGUUUUUCAUCUCUGCCGAAAUAAAUACUGUUUUUUUACUGAUGAAUACUGAUGAAAUAUGAUUAAACAACAAAGUGCUAAUAUGUUUCAUAUAAAACAAGUAUAAGCACAUAUCAUUACUUCAUAUGCAAUUAUAAACUGUCACUAAUAGUUCUAUUGAUUGGUGGCAUAAAUAGCUGUAAUACAAGCUGUUCUUUAGAGGAGAUAAAUAUAAAUACCAAUGAAAAAGCAUAAGAAGUGUUUGUCCUGUACUUUUACCUUGAGGCCGUAUUAUGAUCACAAUAAGACAUAUCUAGGCAUGUGUCAUACUGGAUAAUACUAUUUCUUGGGUGUUUGAGGGCACAUGGCUUUACCUUGUACUUCGCAACAGCUGAGACAUGCCGUUUAGUCGCAUGAUCCUAGCUCUGCUGGAAAAAAAUAUUAAGCUAUAAAUAUACCAAAAAGGAAUAUAUUUAUAGGUAGUUAACAUUAAAUACUCCACAACAUUGUAUUUAUGUAAUUAGCAAGCAAAGUUAAAAAUAAAUGUUUUCAAAACAUUUUUCUCUUUGAGGAAGAACUGAUGGCAUUAUUCAUUGUGAAUACAUUUCUGUAUGUAGGCCCAUUUUCUGUUCACAGACCACUUCUUAUUUUGUAUGCGUGUUAUAGUAUCACCUGGAGAGCCCCAGUCAAGCGUUUGGGCCCUACAAUGAAUCCUUAUUUUUGUAUUCUUUAUUUGCAAGUAUUCACCAAGAACACUUUCACCAAAUGGGUUUCAGUCUAUGGGUUGUUUACAACAUGUUCAUGCAUUCUUUUUGCACUUCAUCACGUGUCUGGUACUAGUUCUGUUCUCCAAUAGGUUGGCUGAAUUUUUAAAAAUAAGAAGCUAACAACACAAGUGAAUAAAAAAUCUUGUCUGGGUAUGUGUGUUUUUGCUUACAUGUAAGUAUGCGUAUUCACAUAGAACAUGAUCCUGCUUCCAUUUAAGUCAAUAGGAGUAGGAUCAAACUGAGGAAAAAGAAGCACUUGUACAGUUAUAACAUUUAUACAAAUAAAAGCUGGUUCCCCCAAAUGUCUGCAAAUCCUGAGUAAAAAGGAGCAGAAAUAUGAUCAAAUCAAAAAGCUCUUUGAAAUCUGAACAACUGUUUGCAAUUAUAGUUUUUGCAAUAUGAAACUGGCUCUAUUUUUAUUACAAUGGUUUAAUUACAUUUUUAAAACUUUUUUUAAUAAAGGUCCCAUUAUUGAGAGGGUAAUUGUCCCAGUUUUCUUUUCCUGGUCUGACAUAACCCCACCUCACUUUGUUUUUGGUAGGCCAUUUUUUCAGGAGUAAGAAGAAUAUUAUUUAGUCAAGAGGCAGAUGUUUCUUACUGUUAUUUCCAGAUUUUAGUCAUGGAUAAGGUGCUGUCUUCAGUCAAUAAGUUCAGGAUAACUGUUUAUUUCAGAAAUAAAUAUCUAAAGAGAUUUUUAGUGUUCGUGGGAGCCAUUACAUUGUUUACAUAAUCCAGCACAAAUGGAAAAGCAGAUAUGAAGGUAUUGGUCCUGGAUUCUUUGUGCAUCUAAAAUUCCUAUUGACUUUAGUGAGAUUUAUGAGUGUACAAAGAAUGUAAUUUUGGACCCAUAUUGUAGCGUGGAGUUCAUGUCUGCAUUUAUUAUUUUAUUUCCAUGGGAAACACUAUCUUUCCCUACUGGUAUCCCUGAAGCUGUGAAAUUCUUUGUUGAGUGUAGCACAAUUACAAACAAAGGAAAAAGUAUGUUUGUUGUACUGUAUAGCAGAAUACUCUGUGAUCAGUGAGUAACAUUGGGUCCAAGUCUUGCAUUCUCCAGGCAAAAGUAGUCCUACACUGCCCUAGAGUUUGAAGGUGCUAGGAUAAAGGGAUUUUUUUCAGACUCCUUUGGUAAAAAAAUUAAUAGUAAUUACUGCUAUUGCAUGGAAACAUUUACUAAAAGUACUGACUUGAUCAAUGUAAAGUUGGGGACAGGGAAAAAGAUAGGAAGACAGUUCUUGGGCUUAAUUCUCUUCUUUUAUAUAAAUCAGUAUACUGCAAAAAAGUUAGUGGUGUUAGAUUGAUUCAAAAUUAUUUUGGGGCGAUCAGGCCUCUUGUGUUUAAAUAGAUAGUAUUACUUUAAAAGUUGAAUAUACUUAACGCAGUCUAAAAAUAAAUUCAAAACAAAAGAGUAAAUGUAGCGACACAUAACAAGUAAGCAUGCAUGCAAAAAAAGGUAAGUGCAAAUUAGAUUUGAAUAUUCAUGAGUCACAAAUCAUUGACAGUUUGAAAUAAUGCAAAACAGCUUUAUAAAUGAGGUUAAGGCAAGGGACAUCAAAGAAAUGCAUUGCUAAAUCAAUAGCAAUUUGAUUGUGCAUAUACUUGUAAAUUGUGGUUACAGUUUGUGAGACAGAAAAAAAUUCUGUGCAUGUAGUGAAGAAGGACACAUAAAUAUUCUUUUUGUAUGUGCUAUAUUUUUGCAAUUCAGCGUGUACUUGGAGACCGGCCAUGUAUAAAGUGACCAGACAUCACUUUUUAAAUUUUUUUCAACUCAGUGUUAUAGUUUCCUUUGCCUAUCCCAUGUCUUGUAUUGUUUUGCUGAGUAUGCUAAAAAUUCAAUUUUCAAUAAUACCUGAACAGCAAUAUUGUAAAAUGAAAUAAUUACUUACUUCACAUGACUUCAGUAGAAAGUUCACCUGCUAAUCAAAGCACUAUCAUAAAAUCAUAGCCAGUGGAGAUUAUCCACUUGUUUCAGGGAAUUUUGUUCUCUGAAGUGGGAGUCAGAUGAGUUGCAAGUCUCCAGGCAAAUUGCUGGAGUAAAGGGAUUUGAAAGAAUGAUAGCUUGAAAGAUGGCCAGCCUAACCAUUUAAAUCAGAGCUUUUUCAUUUUAUCCUGCUGUAAGCAUCAAUAAAGUAUUGGAUCUGCUGUCUCA